rnacentral:rRNA from 1 species
AAACGACUCUCGGCAACGGAUAUCUCGGCUCUCGCAUCGAUGAAGAACGUAGCGAAAUGCGAUACUUGGUGUGAAUUGCAGAAUCCCGUGAACCAUCGAGUCUUUGAACGCAAGUUGCGCCCGAAGCCGUUAGGCUGAGGGCACGUCUGCCUGGGCGUCACG